rnacentral:rRNA from 1 species
UACGUAGGGUGCAAGCGUUAAUCGGAAUUACUGGGCGUAAAGCGUGCGCAGGCGGCUUUGCAAGACAGAUGUGAAAUCCCCGGGCUCAACCUGGGAACUGCAUUUGUGACUGCAAGGCUGGAGUACGGCAGAGGGGGAUGGAAUUCCGCGUGUAGCAGUGAAAUGCGUAGAUAUGCGGAGGAACACCGAUGGCGAAGGCAGCCCCCUGGGUCAAGAUUGACGCUCAUGCACGAAAGCGUGGGGAGCAAACAGG